rnacentral:rRNA from 1 species
GGGCGUUAAGUUGCAGGGUAUAGACCCGAAACCCGGUGAUCUAGCCAUGGGCAGGUUGAAGGUUGGGUAACACUAACUGGAGGACCGAACCGACUAAUGUUGAAAAAUUAGCGGAUGACCUGUGGCUGGGGGUGAAAGGCCAAUCAAACCGGGAGAUAGCUGGUUCUCCCCGAAAGCUAUUUAGGUAGCGCCUCGUGAAUUCAUCUCCGGGGGUAGAGCACUGUUUCGGCUAGGGGGCCAUCCCGGCUUACCAACCCGAUGCAAACUGCGAAUACCGGAGAAUGUUAUCACGGGAGACACACGGCGGGUGCUAACGUCCGUCGUGAAGAGGGAAACAACCCAGACCGCCAGCUAAGGUCCCAAAGUCAUGGUUAAGUGGGAAACGAUGUGGGAAGGCCCAGACAGCCAGGAUGUUGGCUUAGAAGCAGCCAUCAUUUAAAGAAAGCGUAAUAGCUCACUGGUCGAGUCGGCCUGCGCGGAAGAUGUAACGGGGCUAAACCAUGCACCGAAGCUGCGGCAGCGACACUAUGUGUUGUUGGGUAGGGGAGCGUUCUGUAAGCCUGUGAAGGUGGCCUGUGAGGGUUGCUGGAGGUAUCAGAAGUGCGAAUGCUGACAUAAGUAACGAUAAAGCGGGUGAAAAGCCCGCUCGCCGGAAGACCAAGGGUUCCUGUCCAACGUUAAUCGGGGCAGGGUGAGUCGACCCCUAAGGCGAGGCCGAAAGGCGUAGUCGAUGGGAAACGGGUUAAUAUUCCCGUACUUGGUGUUACUGCGAAGGGGGGACGGAGAAGGCUAUGUUGGCCGGGCGACGGUUGUCCCGGUUUAAGCGUGUAGGUGUGUGUUCCAGGUAAAUCCGGUUCACUUUAACACUGAGGCGUGAUGACGAGGCACUACGGUGCUGAAGCAACAAAUGCCCUGCUUCCAGGAAAAGCCUCUAAGCAUCAGGUAACAUCAAAUCGUACCCCAAACCGACACAGGUGGUCAGGUAGAGAAUACCAAGGCGCUUGAGAGAACUCGGGUGAAGGAACUAGGCAAAAUGGUGCCGUAACUUCGGGAGAAGGCACGCUGACACGUAGGUGAAGUGAUUUACUCA